rnacentral:misc_RNA from 1 species
GAUGAAGAACGUAGUGAAAUGCGAUAAGUAGUGUGAAUUGCAGAAUUCAGUGAAUCAUCGAGUCUUUGAACGCACAUUGCGCCCCCUGGUAUUCCGGGGGGCAUGCCUGUCCGAGCGUCAUUGCUGCCCUCAAGCACGGCUUGUGUGUUGGGCCCCGUCCUCCGAUUCCGGGGGACGGGCCCGAAAGGCAGCGGCGGCACCGCGUCCGGUCCUCGAGCGUAUGGGGCUUUGUCACCCGCUCUGUAGGCCCGGCCGGCGCUUGCCGAUCAACCCAAAUUUUUAUCCAGGUUGACCUCGGAUCAGGUAGGGAUACCCGCUGAACUUAAGCAUAUCAAUAAGCGGAGGA